AGGACGAACGCUGGCGGCGCGCCUAACACAUGCAAGUCGAGCGAGAACCAGGGCUUGCCCUGGGGAAAGCGGCGAACGGGUGCGUAACACGUGAGCAACCUGCCCCAAAGACCGGGACAACCCGAGGAAACUCGGACUAAUACCGGAUGCCCUCACCGGGCCGCAUGGUCUGGUGAGGAAAUGGAUUCCGCUUUGGGAUGGGCUCGCGGUCUAUCAGCUUGUUGGUGGGGUAACGGCCUACCAAGGCGACGACGGAUAGCUGGUCUGAGAGGACGAUCAGCCACACUGGGACUGAGACACGGCCCAGACUCCUACGGAGGCAGCAGUGGGGAAUCUUGCGCAAUGGGGGAAACCCUGACGCAGCGACGCCGCGUGCGGGAUGAAGGCCUUCGGGUUGUAACCGCUUUCAGCAGGGACGAAAGUUGACGGUACCUGCAGAAGAGGCCCGGCCAACUACGCGCUAGCAGCCGC
rnacentral:rRNA from 1 species